UUCUAUCUACACAGAAGACAGAAGUAGGGUGAUGGCUUCUGAUGUGGAGGGAAAGAGAAAUCAUUAAAUGAAUACUGUUCCAGUUUUCCAAAAUGUAACGUUCUGGAGACGAAUGGUGGUGAUAUUUACAUAACAGUGUUAAUAUAUUUUGUGUCACUUAACUGUACACUCGAAACUCUUCAGAUGAUAAAUUUUGCAUGUGCAUUUUGCCAUAAUAGAAAUUGGAAAAUAGAACCACCUGAGCUAGCAAUCCUCCUCUGAGUGUAGGUCCAGAGGGAUAAAACUCAGGGUCUUGAAGAGACCAUUCUCCUGAUCACUGCAGCAUUAUUCACUGUAGCCAAGAUAUGAGAGCCUAAAUGUCCACUGAUGGGUGAAUGGAUAAAUAAAAUAUGGUAUUUACAUGCAAUCAAAUUUUAUUCGCAUAGAAACAGGAGCAGCCAGCCACUUGGGACAACGUGGACGGAACUGGAGAACAUGCUGAGUGAAAUAAGCCAGUCACAAAUAGAAAACAAACAAAAAGUCAAAAGGGGCAGGAGGAAAGUUCUGGAGGUGACAGACAAGUGCAUGGCUCACGAAGAUGCUUUCAUGGGUGUGCUCAGCUCUCCAAACACAAGUUGUGUUCACUAAAUAGUUGCAGCUUUUUGUGUCAGUCAUACUUCAAUAAGCAACAAGGUUCUUACCAUAUGUGGACCCUCAGCCUUGGACUCCUGAGCCUCCAGCCCGAGACAGAGGAUGCUGAGGCACCCUAGAUCGCUCCUCUACCUUUGUCCUGUUCUUCUCCUGCACCUCAGAAGCCAUGCAAAUAGCAUGAUGAUGUCUGCAGGUCACACUGGGCACUGCUGCUGUGAAGAUGAAGAACUGAGCUUACAAACCAUCCUUGGUGCCACACACCACUGACCACAUCGCACCUGGAGCACACUUAUCUGUGAGUUCCCAGCUACAGGGACAGAAAUGUUCUUCUGGUUGAGCCGGCUGGCUGAGAUGUCUGGAGAUGGUGGUCCACAGGACGGACACAUCGAGGAAAGGCCGAACAAGCUCUCGGGGCAACCUAGAUGACUAUCUGCAAUGUCACAGCACCUGGCACCCUCUGGGAGUGGCAAGUCCAGCCCACAUCCAUUUCUUGUAACUUGCUAAUUGACAACUGCUGGUGGCUACCAGGUAUAGCAAAUAAACAUAGAGAGAGCAUUUCCAAUUAAAUUUGAAUUCUGGGUCAAUAACAAAUAAUUUUUAUGACAUAAACACAUUCCAAAUAUACAUAGGAUGUACCGACUAGGACUUUCCGAGGUGCCUGUGAAGGAGGUGGGAUUUAUCCAUCCGGGGCUCCCCAAACCAUAUUUUCUUGGACUUCUUCUUAAUUAAAGAUCAUUUUCUGACUGAGCCAUUUCCAAACAUGGAAGGAGAACCACAGGGUUUCUGGCUAGAUCUUGGGCCCUUCCCUGAGGGGGCAGGGUGGCUCUUCUGGAUUCUCUUCACACCAUUCAGCCUGUGCUCCAAACACACUUCAUCAUUACUCCACUUUUCUUCCUUUGUGUGUGACCCAGGAGGACACCAGAAGACCCGGCCCGUCUAGGGUGUCUUCCUGGUUCAUCAUCCAGGUGUUUGUCUUGCUGGAUCACUGAAAGGAGUUUGUCUGCCAGUAGCAGUUUAUUGCCCAGAAACUCUCAGCAAACCUUCUGGACUCUGGAAUCUGGCUGUCUUGGUUCUCUUGGCUUAGGAGAUGAUCAGAGGGUCCACAGUCUGCCACAGGCAGUCAGCAAAGAGGAAAUCCCCUCUUCACAGCCCACUCUUCAUGGAAAUAAAGCCAGUUUCCUUCUCUUCUUAGUUAGGGUUGACCUCUUGAGGAGUAUUUUCUGUGUAGGAAACUGAGGAGAAUCAAAGGAAAGAAAUUAGUCUAACCCUAUAUAAACUGCUCUAUUUGUAGAAGUCCCUUUGUGCCUCUGAAAUGGCUGUCGUAAAGCUGUGGCACAGCCACGAGGAAUUGUGUCUUUCACUGUACCCAUCCUGCAGCUUCUCCUGGACCAGAUGAACACACUGAGGGAGACACAGGCGUGUUUCCUGAUGUCAGCUGUGACCUUCAACCGUUCCCGCCUCCUAGGACAUCCCUGAGAUGUCCCCACACACAAAAGAUCCUCUGGCUUCCUCCUCUGCCCCUGAAGGAGCCCCCUCCUUGGCCACCCCGCCGUCCUGCGCCUUCCCUAUGGCUCUGUCUCCACCUCUCUCUGUCCGACUUGGUCCCUGCAGUGGGGACUUCGCCUGCCUGCUGGCCCUGCAGCCUCCACUCGCUAGGAUGUGUGUGCAUCUCAUCCACUUCCCACGAUGGGCAGACGUGGAUCUCUCCUCCUUUUCUGCUUCUCUCUUCAGCCUCACUGCCCUCUGCCCUACUCCCAGGCCACCACUCGGGGCUGAGAGACGCCUCUGGCUUAGUUCCUUACUGCAAAGAUAAAGAUCUCAGCUACAGAUGUCACAAUCUUCAAAAAGCAGCAUGAAAUAUGAUUUUAUUGGUUGCUAAACCAUGUCUGACUCCCUUCCCUGGGGUCAUAAUGGUAGAAGGAAGACAAAAAAGGAAACCUGUUCAUCAACAACAGAAACUGGGAGGUCUUCCAGAGUUCUAAUUCUCAUUCAUCAAUCAUUUAUUGGGUGGUAACAUAUGUGCCCUAAUUUAUUCCUUCUUCAACUUUUUUGAAAAUGAGGAAAGUAAAAUAAUCAUAUACUGUUACCCUCCUUCCCACCCAACAGAGUCUCCAGCAUGUCAUCCUUUCUUUUUGUUAUCAACUGAAUUGUUUUUUCUUCCUGAAAUUUAUAUAUUGAAGUCCUAACCCUCAGGGCAGUUUGCUCUGUCCAUGGUAUUAGUUACAGCUAAGCAUGGUCUGAAAAUAUUAAGUGGAAUAUUCCCAAAGUAAACAACUCACAAGUUUUGAAUUGUGUGUCAUUCCGAGUAGUUGUGAUGAAGUUUCAUGCUGUCCUGCUCCCUUCCAUCUGUGACUGGAGUCAUCCCUUCAUCCAGUGGACCCACACUCUAUACACUACCCCCAUUCAUUGGUCACUUAGUGUCCACCUUGGUUAACAGGUUGACCUUUGUGGAAUCACAUGCUUGUGUUCAAGUAACCCUUACUUUACAUACUAACAGCCCAAAGUGCAAGAGUGCUGGCAAUUUAGU